rnacentral:rRNA from 1 species
UACGAAGGGGGCUAGCGUUGUUCGGAAUUACUGGGCGUAAAGCGUUUGUAGGCGGUUAUCCAAGCUAGUGGUGAAAUCCUGGGGCUCAACCUCAGAAUUGCCAUUAGAACUAGAUAGCUAGAGAAUGUUAGAGGUAAGUGGAAUUCCUAGUGUAGGAGUGAAAUCCGUAGAGAUUAGGAGGAAUAUCGAUGGCGAAGGCAGCUUACUGGGACAUUUCUGAGCGUGAGAAACGAAAGCGUGGGUAAGCAAACAGGG